rnacentral:rRNA from 1 species
CUACGGGAGGCUGCAGUGGGGAAUAUUGCACAAUGGGCGAAAGCCUGAUGCAGCGACGCCGCGUGGAGGAUGACGGUCUUUGGAUUGUAAACUCCUGUUAAAUGGAAAGAAAUCUUUGCGAGUAAUAUGCGCAGAGGAUGACGGUACCAUUAGAGAAAGCUCCGGCUAACUUCGUGCCAGCAGCCGCGGUAAUACGAGGGGAGCAAGCGUUAUUCGGAAUCACUGGGCGUAAAGGGCGUGUAGGCGGUUAGCUAAGUCAGGUGUUAAAUCUCCCGGCUCAACCGGGAGCAGGCAAUUGAUACUGGCUGGCUAGAGCGCAGAAGAGAGAAGUGGAAUUAUCGGAGUAGCGGUAAAAUGCGUAGAUCUCGAUAGGAACACCAAUUGCGAAGGCAGCUUCUUGGUCUGUAGCUGACGCUGAGACACGAAAGCGUGGGGAGCAAACAGGAUUAGAUACCCCAGUAGUC